rnacentral:rRNA from 1 species
GGGGUAAAAUUAAUAAAAUAAAACUAAUAAAAAAAUUUUUAAUAUAAAAUAUGAUAAUGGGGGUUAAAGUAUUUUUAUAGAAAAAAAUUUAAAAUUUUAUAGUUAAUUAGUAUUGUGUAAGAAAUUUGAAAUAAAUUGAAAAUAAAUUUUUUUUUAAGUAAAUUUAAUUUAUUGUAUCUUGUGUAUCAGAGUUUAUUAAAUUUUUUUUAGGGUUUAAAUUUCUCGAAUUUAAAAGAGUUAAUUAAUUAAAAAAAUUUAUUGUUUCAUAAAUAUUUAUAAUAAUUAAUUAGAAAUGAAAUGUUAUUCGUUUUUAAAUAUAUCUAGUUUUUUAAGAAAAAAAUUUAAUUUUAAAUUAAAUUUGGGGUUAAUUUAUUUAUUAAUUAAUUUUUAAUUUUUAAUUUUAUAUUUUAAGGGAUAAGCUUUAAAUUAAAUUAUUAUAAUUUUUUAUUAUUUUAUGAGAAUUUUAUAAUUUAUAUUGUUAAUAAAUUUUAAUUUAUUAUAAAUAAUUUCAUUAAAUUUUAAAAUUUAAAUAAAAUUUAUUAUUUUAUUAAAAAAUUAAUAUAAAUUAUACAUAUUAAGUUAUAAUGAUAAAAUUAGUAUAAAUUUUAAUUUAAUUUAAAAUUUUUAUUUUUGUUAAUUAAUUAAAAGGAAUUCGACAAAAAUUUAUAUUCACCUGUUUAUCAAAAACAUGUCUUUUUGGUGAUAAUUUAAAGUCUAAUCUGCCCACUGAUAGUAUAUUAAAGGGCUGCAGUAUAUUGACUGUACAAAGGUAGCAUAAUCAUUAGUCUCUUAAUUGGUGACUUGUAUGAAAGAUUGGAUGAAAUAUAUAUUGUCUCUUAAUUAUAAAUUUGAAUUUAAUUUUUUAAUUAAAAAGUUAAAAUAGUUUAAAAAGACGAGAAGACCCUGUAGAGUUUUAUAUUUAUUUAAAUUUAAGUUUUAAAUUAAUUUUAUUUAUUUAAUUUUAAUUUAAUUAUUUUAUUGGGGUGAUAAAAAAAUUAAAUUAACUUUUUUUAAAUUAGUUCAUUGAUUUAUGAUUUAUUGAUCCUUUAUUAUUGAUUAAAAGAAAAAAUUACCUUAGGGAUAACAGCGUAAUUUUUUUUUUUAGUGCUUAUAAAAAAAAAAGUUUGCGACCUCGAUGUUGGAUUAAGAUAAAAUUUAAAUGCAAAAGUUUAAAAUUUUGAUCUGUUCGAUCAUUAAAAUCUUACAUGAUCUGAGUUCAAACCGGUUUAAGCCAGGUUGGUUUCUAUCUUUUAAAAAAUUUAAUAUUUUAGUACGAAAGGAAUUAAUAUUGUAAUUAAAUUAAUUUUAUAGAUUUUUAUUAAUAAUUGAAUAUAUUUAUUA